AACGAACGCUGGCGGCAUGCCUAACACAUGCAAGUCGAACGAGACCUUCGGGUCUAGUGGCGCACGGGUGCGUAACGCGUGGGAACCUGCCCUUAGGUUCGGAAUAACUCCCCGAAAGGGGUGCUAAUACCGGAUAAUGUCUUCGGACCAAAGAUUUAUCGCCUUUGGAUGGGCCCGCGUUGGAUUAGCUAGUUGGUAGGGUAAAAGCCUACCAAGGCGACGAUCCAUAGCUGGUCUGAGAGGAUGAUCAGCCCCACUGGGACUGAGACACGGCCCAGCCGCGUGCGGGAGGUAGCAGGGGGGAAUCUGGGGCACGGGGCGAAAGCCUGACCCCCCGCGGCCGGGAUGGCGAUCUAGGGUUUAGGAUUAGAAAUCUCUUUUGACGGGGAUGGUAUGACGGGGACCGGGAAAAAAGCCCCGGCUAACUCCGUG
rnacentral:rRNA from 1 species